GUGAGCGAGGACACACUCGUGCGUGGCGAGUGAAGUGUGACGAAAAAAAAAUAUUUAAUGAAAAAAGUAACAAAAUACAAAAUUCGAUUUUUCAAAUGGUUUUAAAUUAAUUAAAAAUAAAUUUUCCUAAGCAUAAAAGUGUCUGCAAAUAAGCUAAAUAAGCAGAAUUUGAGUUUCAUGUGCCACACAAAAACCAAAAAAAAAAACGAGUGACUACCCAGGCUGGUAGACGCCAGGUCGUAUAAGCAACCAAACAAAGAAACAAAAACUGAGUUUUCCGCCAGUGCAUCGCUGUCUAAGUAUUAGUGGCGCCACUACAGCACAUAUAUGCAUAUGCCACAAUUGUAGUGACUGUCGGUGGAAUGCGCAUAGAGUUGCCAACUAGUAUUUGUUUUUCGCGCUACCAGAGCUGCCGGAGCCGCCACAUACACUUCAUGCCGAGGCGCAUCGUAUUUUGAAAGUCGAAAGACCAACACAAAAAUGUGGCUGUAUCUAUUUUUUUAUCUAUCAUUUAAGCCAACACCUAAACGCAAUCGUGUGUCGUUGGCCGUGGCUAAGACGAAUAGGCGCACAGCAAAGUGUAGCAAGCAACUAACAAAACGGCAAACAAGCAAGCCAAGCAGCUAGCAGCCAACAUUCGACAGCCCACCAAAGUAGCCCACAAAUUGUGGCGCGACUUGGGGAAAACUCAUCAAAACAACAACAAAAACAAAACAAAUGAAAAACACACAAAAGGCAGCAACAACAACUAGAAAUGGCUACAAAUGCGCCAACAACAAAGGCGAAAAACAAAAUAGAGGCAGGCAGGCAGCCAGCUAACUUGAUAGCCAGCUAUUUGGGGGCCCCGAGCGCAACAUGCAUACAUACAUAUGUCUUGAUUUGGGAGUAACGCUGCCAACGACGCCGCAGCGCUAUUGAGACUCUUUGUGCACGCCUCUGCCAGUGCUCAGCUGUUGGUCAAUACGCUCGCACACUCAUUCCCGUCAGUUGGUAAAGGCUGAAAAAGCUACAGCGCGGUGCUUGUGAUUUGCUAGCGAGCUGGUGCGCGGUGAUAUUUAGUACAGAGAAAAGCACGCGAUUGCGAUUAACGGGUGAAAAUUAAUUUCGUAUUCCAAUUAUAUAUAUAUCUUCUUUUUUUUGCGAGGAAGCGAAUGAAGUAAUACUUUUCUGUAUCCGAAUAGAAUAAGUAACCACAUAUAAGAGAAAAACAUAAAUAAAAGAAAUUAUUUUGUGAAAAAGCAAGUGUUGAAAAAUAAGAAAAUUUUGUUUCAUAGACAACGCAAUUUAUUCAACGUCUAGCAAAAAAACGAGCAAUCAAUACAACAUCCCCGACGCUAUAAACUCUCUUCCCACAACGCCUACACCCACAAAAGUUGGCGGCGUAUAAUAUCAGCAACCUGUGGUACUAAAUUUAAAAUAAAUUUGUACAAAGCAAAAACAGUUAAUGCAAUAAUAAAAUAGCCAAACAAAAU